rnacentral:rRNA from 1 species
CCAAUAGCGUAUAUUAAAGUUGUUGCAGUUAAAAAGCUCGUAGUUGAAUUUCGGGAUCAGUACGCUGGUCGUGCCUUGGUAUGUACUGGUGUUACUGGUUCCUACCUUCUGACGAACCGUCAUGUCAUUAAUUUGGUGUGGCGGGGAAUCAGGACUGUUACUUUGAAAAAAUUAGAGUGUUUAAAGCAGGCUCGCGCUUGAAUACAUUAGCAUGGAAUAAUGAAAUAGGACGUUUGAUCCUAUUUUGUUGGUUUCUAGGAUUGACGUAAUGAUUAAUAGGGAUAGUUGGGGGCAUUAGUAUUCAAUUGUCAGAGGUGAAAUUCUUGGAUUUAUUGAAGACUAACUACUGCGAAAGCAUUUGCCAAGGAUGUUUUCAUUAAUCAAGAACGAAAGUUAGGGGAUCGAAGACGAUCAGAUACCGUCGUAGUCUUAACCAUAAACUAUGCCGACUAGGGAUCGGAUGAUGUUAAUUUUUUAAUGACUCAUUCGGCGCCUUAC